UUUAGAUCCUGCGUCAGGAGUCGAACGCUGGCGGCGUGCUUAACACAUGCAAGUCGAGCGAAGCAUUCUGCUUUAAAUCUCGGAGGCGAAGCAGUCUGACUGAGCGGCGGACGGGUGAGUAACGCGUGGGCAACCUGCCUCAUACAGGGGGGAUAACAGUUAGAAAUGACUGCUAAUACCGCAUAAGACCGCGGUACCGCAUGGUACAGCGGUAAAACUCCGGUGGUAUGAGAUGGGCCCGCGUCUGAUUAGCUAGUUGGCGGGGUAACGGCCCACCAAGGCGACGAUCAGUAGCCGACCUGAGAGGGUGACCGGCCACAUUGGGACUGAGACACGGCCCAAACUCCUACGGGAGGCAGCAGUGGGGAAUAUUGCACAAUGGGGGAAACCCUGAUGCAGCGACGCCGCGUGAGCGAUGAAGUAUUUCGGUAUGCAAAGCUCUAUCAGCAGGGAAGAAAAUGACGGUACCUGACUAAGAAGCCCCGGCUAACUACGUG
rnacentral:rRNA from 1 species